UCCAGCUUGCCUAGUCAAACAUUUAUUUUAUUAACAUUAUACUAUAUACAUCCAAAAUCUCUAAUAAUGUUUAAGUAAUAAAAAUGUUCAACACAACAUGAUACCUCUAAGCUGAUGUUGAAUAUUUAAGUCAUAAACAUUAUUCUUACAGUCCUAACAGGCUUAAUCAGAAAUUGUAAAGGAAAAGCUACAGGAUGAACAACUAAACAAUAACAUAAAAGAAACCAGUAGUUCCAUUCAAAAGCAUUGGGCUACAAACUUUAUUUUUCACACUUUCAAAGUUCAAGACAUACCUGAAAGCAGCAAAGAAAAGCAGAAAAGAAGCUUCAGCAAAGAACAAUGAGACAACAGUAGUAGCUACACUAGAUUUACAAUAUAUUCAACCCAGUACUUCACAAUAAAAUCUAAGUGUUUUUGCUAGCCAACAAAAGAGGUUCAACCAACUGAUGGAAUAAUGAUUGAGUUUUUCUUGGUGUAUUUUUUUUGUUCUGAAAAUCUAUAUCAGCAUGUGUCUAAAUGAGUGAAUAAAGGGUACUAUUUAUAAGCCUAAAUGCCAUGUGCUGGAAAAAUCGUUUAGGGAAAAUUUCCCUAUUAGCCUGAAAAGGCAUCUUUUUAACAAAUUUGGACAGCUAGUUGUCCGUCAUUGGCUUCUACACUUUGUGCUAACCAAAUGAGGCCAACUGCUCCUAUUCUAGAACAUUCCAACAUGGUCUUAUCCUAUUUCAUACUUAGACACCCUUCAAACAAACCCCUUAAGUUUCUUUAUUAUUUAAUUAACCCCUCACAAUUUCAAUUGAUAUCAAAUGAUGCCAACUAGAAUUGAUAAGCUAAAACUAACAAUAAGCUGACAAUCAUACUCUGAAACUAAAUUACAACUAAUUAAUUAUUUAGGCAAAACAAACUAUCACAUAAUUUCAAAUACAACAAAUAAUUAACUACUAGAAUAGCCAACACAGUUUUACUAAUUAAUCUAAGCAUGCUUUACUUAGCCAAAACUGAUAAUUAGUAAACUAGAACAAAACUAAUUAGAAUGACUAGAAGAUUAAAAUGACUUCAAACGAAAAUAAGUAAUCUAACAUGCUAAAGAAAGUAUGAAACUACCAAAACCAAACUGAUUCAAGCAAGAAAGACAAAGAAGACAGUGAUGACUCUAGAACAUGAACAAGCAAAUUAAUGAACCCUAAAAAAAGAACUAAUGACUCGAGCAUGAAGAGAACAAUGGUGAAAUCAAACAGGGACUUAAAGAAAAAAAGUGGGAGAUGAGAUUUUACCUUGUUUAACUCAAAAAAAGUAAUGAUAAAGAACAUAAAUGGAACCGAUGAAUUAUGGCUGGAAUCCAGUGAGUCUGCCCAAAUCUGAUGAUCUCGGAGUGACUCAAAACUAUCGUCAAUCAAUUGCUAUUGUUGAGAUCAAUCUAUUAAUGCAAGAUUUAGGUCAAAUCGAGUUGGAAUUGUGCGAAAAAUCAGAAAAGAAAAAAUUAGGGUUUUCUGGAAUUCCUAGAUUUGGAUUUCAUGGAGUUUGGGCGGUUUUUUGGGAGAGUUAAUGAGGGAUUUGGAUUGAGAGGAGGAAGGAGGUUAUAGGGUGUGAAUCUGGGCCUAUUUUGCGACGUGUCGCAUCCGUGGGGUGAUUUCCGGCAGGUGGCGGCUGGUGGUGAAGAGAUGGGGAAUUAGGGCGGCUAGGUUUUGGGUUCAGAGUGAGGGAGACGGGGAAAUGGGGGGAGGGGGUCUGAAGGGUUUAGGAGUAUGGUUAGGACAAUUAUAUGUAAAGGGGUAGGCUAGUUCUCGUCCGUUAACUCAAGGGUGAUCAAUGACUGGGAUUGAUGGUCACUGAAACGACAUCGUUUGGUUUAUGUAAGGGUUGGACCGGGUGAGGGAUUGGGCUUGGCGGGUUUUGGAAGGGAAGGGGGGUUUGGGCCAUUGGUGUUUGGUCUCAAUGGGUGGCCCAAACCAAAAAACAGCAUUUUCUUUGUUUUUCUUUCUUUUUCUCCUUUUGUUUUUUCUUUUUUUUAAUUAAUUAAAGUCCUAAAUUAAAUCUUAAAUUAAUUAAAUUUACAAAAUUAAUCUAAUUAUCUAAUUAUAAUAUUUACAAAAUUAGUUGAUCCUAAAUUAAAGAAGAGAAGAAUUACUAAAUUAGCAUUAAAGGCUAAAAUGAGAAAUGAAUGAUAUUUUUUUUAUUUUCAUUUUAAUAAUAAUUAACUAAACGAAUUAAUCCUAAAAUACAAACACAAAAACCUAAUAUGCAAUUCAUGGAAUUUGAUAUUUUUGGAGUAUUUGCUAUGCUUUUAAUGUAUGCAAAAAUGCACCUAAAAUGCAUAUAAUUAAACAAAUAGUCCUAAAAAUUCUAUAAAAUUAAAAUAAACUAAAAAAAUCUAUUUUGUGAUUUUAUAGGAGUAUUUUGGGUCGGGCAAAAAUUACGUGCUUAUAGUUGCCCCUCUUUGCUCGGAAACACGAAGAGUUUUCGGGCAAAGAUAAAGUGAGCAAAUACGAGCGAUUUUUGCCCGUUUAGAUACUCCAGGGGAAGCAAUUUUGAAAAGCAUGACCGAACCCUGCUUCCGAGGUUGCCUACAUAUACUUGGCUAUAAAAUAAUCAGGUUAGUAUAGUUCUGGAAGUUUUGGUAGCUGGGACUACCAAGAAGCUGUGAUUUCACUGAUGCUGCUGCUGCUACUGCUUGUUGAACUCCUUAUUACACUGAGAAAAAAUGAAAAAGGAGCUAGACUAAUCUAUGAUCUAUGAGUUACAAGAAUCCUAUCUAUAUAUCUUCAAACUUGAUCUUGAAACCUCUGCGGUUCUGCCGCGCAUCUUGAACUGUUGACUUGCACUCUUGAGGCGAGCUUUUGUUAUUUCUAACUUGAAUCGACCUCAUUCUUCGGGCGGGUUCCUGCUGUUGUCUUGAGCUUACUUCUGAAAUGAAUUCCCUUGUUUUCCAGGUGGGCGCCUGCAACUUCAACUUGAAAUGAAUUCCCUUGUUAUCCAGGUGGGCGCCUGAUGCUGAAACUUGAAACGAAUUCCCUUGUUUUCUAGGUGGGCGCUGUCACACCUCCUUUUUACUACCCCCGAAAGGAGUAUAAGGGAGUUUUUCCAAUUUAAGUGACAAUCAAAACGGAAUUAUUUAUUUUAAAUUCUGAGUCGCCACUUGGGAUAAUUUAUGGUGUCCCAAGUCACCGAUUUAAAAUCCCGAAUCGAGGAAAUUUGACUCUAUUUACGGUCUGCGAACACAGAAAUCCGGGUAUGGAAUUUUGUUAACCCGAGAUAACGUGUUAGGCAUUCCCAGGUUCCGUGGUUUUAGCAUGGUCGCUUUGAUCAUACUUGGCUUAUUAAAUUAUUUAACUACUCAUUUUAGAACCUAUGUGCUUUUACCUUUUUUUAUGAAAUUACCUUGAAACGAGUCACGCGCACGUGUACUCAUUUUGUUUGGCGCGUCAAAAACAAUGUCACGCGGACGUGUCCACAAUUAAUAACAUUUUAUUAUUAUUAAGAAAGUUUAGUCGAAGUUGCGCGAAUGCAUACCCCGAUUUUAUUUUUAAGAUCGUAAUUAUGUCACGCGAACAUGUACACAACCACGAUAGCAUAUUAAACACGCCUAAAGCAAGCUACGAAUAUUCAUUUUAGAAACCAUAAGCAAGUUCAAACCAGGGGAAUUCAGCUAUAACCAAUUCGAGUAGCAUGUGAGCAGAUAACUACAUGAACAACUUUCAAAAUCAUAGUCACCAAUUAAACAAAUCACAGAAUCAAAUCACCAAACAAAUGAUUAACAUCAAGCUUAUAUAAAACAAAUAGAGGAUGAAAGAGUUGAACCUCAAUAUAGCCGGACAAUUGAUUGUUUCACUACUUUGAACUCGAGAUGUAACAAACCGCGGAUGGAACUCGAAUCAGCACUGAAAUGCUAAAAAUCGGACUGAGACUCAAAUCAGUACCGGAAGACUCAACCAAACACGGAUUCAGACCCAGGUUUCAAUCAAAGUCCCUCCUUGAACAAAAACCAGAAUCGAAAGGUGAAGAAACUGAAAUAUGUAUUUUUGUAUCUUUCGAGUUUCCUAGAAAAAAUGAAGAUCUGCCAAAAUGGAUUCCAAUCCUCCGUCACACUGUUUUUGUUCCCGUUUUCAAUCCCUCUGUUGAAAUGCGUAGAGUCCCAAAAUGACAAAAAAAAAAAAAAAGUUAUCAAAAUUUCUUUAAAAAAAAUCUGAAUAUCAACAUAUGUUGCAUUCACCCGUCCCCUUGCAUUCCAUCUUCUCAUAUGUACCUUACUACCAUUUUUGCUUCAACAGAACUACCCACAGCAUUUGAUGAAAGAAGAGUUGGAAAUUACUCUAUAUUUCUGAAUCUGAAGUCAAAAUCUGACUAGCAACUAUAUUUUUGUUUUGUUUUAUAUAGAUGAACUGAGAAUGGACAAUCGAGGAAGAAGAAAUCAAAAAGCUAAUACUUAAAUCCUCAUUUUCAAGUUCUGUCCAAAAAUUCUAGACCGAAACUCAAAAUGUGAUACCGUCGCCGACUAGAACCUCAACAACUGAACAUUGCUUGAAAUUGGAAAGGGUUUGAUCCUGUUUUUGGCUCGUCCCAGAUCUGUUUUCGUCCCCUCUUUGUCCCCUCUCUAUAAGUGUGUGUUUGAGUUCAUGAAAUGAAAAAGCGGAGAGAAAAGAUCCCCAUGACUUCGUGCUCUUUCCCUUUACCGUGCGUGCGUGUGUGUAUUUUGUUUUGAUGGUGAGGGAGCUUGGUGGUUGGAGGGUGGUUAUGGAGAAGGUGUUGCUGGGCGUUGAAGAAACGGGAGGAGAUUAAAGGGGAUGGCUAUUUUUCAGGCUGGCGUGAAGGUGGGUUCAAGAAGAUGAAGUUUUGGGGGUCCGAUUUUUGUUGAAGAACGGCGGAUUUUCAGCUCUUUCCU
rnacentral:lncRNA from 1 species